rnacentral:tRNA from 1 species
CGGGGUGUGGCGCAAUUUGGUAGCGCACUUGGUUUGGGACCAAGGGGUUGGGAGUUCAAAUCUCUUCACCCCGACCA